CAAGAAGGCAGCUGCAAGGACUCGAGGAUGUGAAAGAGCCAGUGCAGUGCGACUUCACGUAGUGCAGAGGAACCAAUGCCAAAAAAUCAAAAUACAUUGCCAUGCAAUUUGGACAAGAAAACUAGGACAACCCAGGACGUGCAUUUCUCAGCACCCAGUCAACUGCCAGAAGUGACUCGAACACAGGCCACCAGUGGCACUCGGCUGUACCACUGCAGUGCUGCGGAAAUUGCCACCACCAGCG